GACGAACGCUGGCGGCGUGCUUAACACAUGCAAGUCGAGCGGUAAGGCCCUUCGGGGUACACGAGCGGCGAACGGGUGAGUAACACGUGGGUGAUCUGCCUCGCACUCUGGGAUAAGCCUGGGAAACUGGGUCUAAUACCGGAUAUGACCACUGAUCGCAUGGUUUGUGGUGGAAAGAUUUAUCGGUGCGAGAUGGGCCCGCGGCCUAUCAGCUUGUUGGUGGGGUAAUGGCCUACCAAGGCGACGACGGGUAGCCGACCUGAGAGGGUGACCGGCCACACUGGGACUGAGACACGGCCCAGACUCCUACGGGAGGCAGCAGUGGGGAAUAUUGCACAAUGGGCGGAAGCCUGAUGCAGCGACGCCGCGUGAGGGAUGACGGCCUUCGGGUUGUAAACCUCUUUCGACAGGGACGAAGCGCAAGUGACGGUACCUGUAGAAGAAGCACCGGCCAACUACGUG
rnacentral:rRNA from 1 species